rnacentral:lncRNA from 1 species
UUAAACGAAGCUCGGCUGCACGAUCAUCUUGAUAGGACCGAAGAAUUACGUGACCAGGCGAUGAUCCGUAUACAAAACUACCAUAAUUCGGCAGCGAAGUAUUACAACAAGACCGUCCGAGAGAUCUAGGGUUACAAUAAAUGCUCCCAUUCCUUAGAUUUACAGAAGAUAUUGUCAUAAAUAUUCAUUGAUGAAGAUGUUUGUUUUUUUUGUUUUUUUUAUCGUCGGAAGGUGUAUUUUGCUUGUAACAAAACUUUAUGGAAUAAAACGGGAUUGUUAACGACAGUCGCGCGUUCUUUCUUUAU